GUCUACGACCAUACCACCCUGAACGCACCCGAUCUCGUCUGAUCUCGGAAGCUAAGCAGGGUCAGGCCUGGUUAGUGCUUGGAUGGGAGA
rnacentral:rRNA from 1 species